UACGUAGGGACCGAGCGUUGUCCGGAAUCAUUGGGCGUAAAGAGCGUGUAGGCGGCUAUUUAAGUCCUGCGUGAAAUCCUGCGGCUCAACCGCAGACGGUCGUGGGAAACUGGAUGGCUAGAGUGCGGGAGAGGAGAGUGGAAUUCCUGGUGUAGCGGUGAAAUGCGCAGAUAUCAGGAGGAACACCGGUGGCGAAGGCGGAUCUCUGGGCCGUAACUGACGCUGAGGAGCGAAAGCAUGGGGAGCGAACAGG
rnacentral:rRNA from 1 species